AUCCUGGCUCAGGAUGAACGCUGGCGGCGUGCCUAAUACAUGCAAGUAGAACGCUGAAGGAGGAGCUUGCUCUUUCCGGAUGAGUUGCGAACGGGUGAGUAACGCGUAGGUAACCUGCCUGGUAGCGGGGGAUAACUAUUGGAAACGAUAGCUAAUACCGCAUAACAGUAGAUAUUGCAUGAUAUCUGCUUGAAAGGGGCAAUUGCUCCACUACCAGAUGGACCUGUGUUGUA
rnacentral:rRNA from 1 species